AUAAGGAACCAGAUCAGAGUGUGUUUCUCCAUUUCUGGCUGUCAUUCUUCUGAUUCUCAUGUCUCUGGCUGAAAGAAAGCAGGAAGCAGCUUUCACGUAUAUUACAGAAGUGAAAAAUUUCAGAGCUGCUGUUCAAAAAAAUGGUUUAGAGGAGGAAAUAGAAAUAAUGUUUGAGAUCUACUGUACCUUUUACAACCAACACAUCAGUCAUUGUUGGUGUAGCUACACCUUGAUAGAAACACAUGCUACUCCUUGGUCCAAGGACAUCUAACUACACAGAAGUGGAAGACAGAUUGAUGAUGAGGCCUCCUGCAAGUCCUUUUCUAACAAAUAUUGAAUUUCCUAAGAGGUAAUAAAUGCAUCAUAUUCAUGUCCAUAAAGGGACUAGCUGUCUGUGAGCUAUUUGGCCUCAUCUUCAAAAAUGAAGUACCGUAAAACUUCAAAUAGGAUCCUGGAGUUUUAUUUGUCCAAAUAGACCAUUGGGACAGGCAUCUAUGCAUGUGGAUAACCGUAUGGGGUUGUAGGGAUGCUUGACAUUGAUUUUGUACCGAUAUCCGAUAUACCAAUAUUGUCCAAUGCUUAAUUUCCGAUACCGAUAUUAGCCGAUACAGAUACCGAAACAUAUGAUCGUUUAUAGGCUUACUGCCCACUGUUCCAUGACUCCCUUGAUACUGGGGAUUUGAAUGUUUUGAAGGACUAGCCAGCAACCGGUAGGCUAACUGGGGUGCGGUGCUUACUACCCCUUCGAGAGAAGAUGCCAACUGAACAUUUCCUUGACUGAGGUAAAAUGAAAACAAAUAGCCACACAAGAACAAAAAUUCAAGUCAUUCCACUCAUUGGGGCUUAGAUCUGCCCUGCUCAAGAAUUUAUUUACUCUACAAACCGUGUGUUUAUGCUGGUUGGCCAACAACCUACAGCAACACUCAAAUUUUGUCUGCAUUCGCUUUGAGAUGAAACGAGCUUUCCAAUAAGGUAUAAAAUGACAUACUUUAGUCAUUUUAAACCAUUUCAAAAACCGAUACCGAUAUUUACCGAUAUUGAAUUUUAAAGCCAAUAUCGGCCGAUAAUAUCGAGCAUCCCUAGUUGUCUAAAUAUGUCUUUCUGCCCCAAGGGACAGGCGUCUGGGACUGGGCUAUUAUUUGAAGUGUUACGGUAGGCCUGCAAUCUUUCUGAGAGUCCACUAAUCAGCAUAAUUCAACACAGCGUAAACUUUUACCUAUUUUGAUGUUUUUUACAUUUUUGGGAAGUUACAUUUUUCAUUUUCUGCACGACUAACAAAAAUGACUGAUGGAUUGUUUUGGCAAAAGAUCUACAUGUAUGCAAUGUUUGUUCUUUGGUGACUAGCGUGACUUGAAAUGUAUUGAGUUAGAAUUACUUAAUCUCAACAUGCUUGAUUAGCCUACAUGUAGAGUUACUACAAGUUACUAAAACUUGUACAGUAAGUAAUUACAUAACUCAAUAGGCCUACAUAGUUACUUUGCGCCUCUGCCAUGCUGGACUCAUGUGUUCCCAGUUCAAACCCAACUUAGCACAUAAAUAUGCCAUGCAGGACCCAUAUAUGCAUUCCCAGAUCAAACCCAUCCGGCCAUCCCCACCUCAGCCCAUAAAUAUGCCAUGCAGGACCCAUAUGUUCCCAGCUAGGAC
rnacentral:lncRNA from 1 species